rnacentral:rRNA from 1 species
UACGGAGGGUGCGAGCGUUAAUCGGACUUACUGGGCGUAAAGCGCACGUAGGCGGCGGCCUCAGUCUGCUGUGAAAGCCCUGGGCUUAACCUGGGAAUGGCAGUGGAGACGGGGCGGCUGGAGUGCCACAGAGGCCGGCGGAAUUCCCGGUGUAGCGGUGAAAUGCGUAGAGAUCGGGAGGAACACCGAUGGCGAAGGCAGCCGGCUGGGUAGACACUGACGCUGAGGUGCGAAAGCGUGGGGAGCAAACAGGAUUAGAAACCCCCGUAGUCC